rnacentral:lncRNA from 1 species
AUUUUGGCGAUUUGAUUGCUCGAACAAGUUUGUAGGAUGUUAUUAAGUUAGUGUGUGUAUUUGGUUGGGAGCCCCGAGGGCUCAGGAGUGUUUCGGAGGUGGUUCGGGGUGAUUUUUACAAUUGGAAACAUAGCAGAUUUUCUACAAUUUUUGCACAGCAAAUUCCUUCUUCGCGUUCGGGUUUCAGUCACGCGUUCGCGAAGUUUCAGUGGCCCUCUUCAUCACGUUCGCGGACAACACCCUGCGUUCGCAUAACCCAGGUUCCCUCUUCAACGCGUUCGCGAUGUUUCUCUCGCGUUCGCGUAGGCUAUUUUCUCAAAGACCCCAGCUUUCUUCUUCGCGUUCACAUACCCCCAAUCGCGAACUCAAUGAUCCCCAGUCCUUUUUUAUCAUGAACGCGAU